UUUUGACAGGAAGACGUCCAGUUAAAAAUUAAAUACAGACAUUGAUCUUCAUUUGGCAGUUGCCUUUUCUUCACAAAAUGAGCAAAGUUAGAUGUGUAUUCGUCGUUGGGGACAUACCACACCUGUCCUUGCGCUAGUUCUCUGAAAUAGGGAAAAGACAAGCCUAGCAAGGCAAAAAACAGAAAGUCACAUGAAAACAAGCUUACACUACGGCAUAUGGAUUCGCAGUGAACGAAAAAGUAAUGGGCUUCUGGAAACCGGAGAAGAAAUUGUAUAAUGCAACAGUCUUAGAAAAAACUAAAUCAGGUAAACCAUGAUAUAAAUCAAAGAGAGAUUACAAAAGAACGAUAAUUAAUAAAUUGAUUGAUAGUCAGGUAGUUUUUUGUUUU